UACAGAGGGUGCGAGCGUUAAUCGGAAUUACUGGGCGUAAAGCGUGCGUAGACGGUUUCGUAAGUCGGGUGUGAAAUCCCCGGGCUCAACCUGGGAAUUGCAUUCGAAGCUGCGAGGCUAGGGUACGGAAGAGGGAAGCGGAAUUUCUGGUGUAGCGGUGAAAUGCGUAGAUAUCAGAAGGAACAUCAGUGGCGAAAGCGGCUUCCUGGUCCAGUACCGACGUUCAGGCACGAAAGCGUGGGGAGCAAACAGG
rnacentral:rRNA from 1 species